rnacentral:rRNA from 1 species
CAAUAGCGUAUAUUAAAAUUGUUGCGGUUAAAACGCUCGUAGUUGGAUAUCUGUGAGCGGGUUCCGGUCCUUCCCAGUGAAGAUUACACGGAACUCUGCUCGCAUUUGUUCAGGGAGGGUGGAUGCACUUCACUGUGUGACCACAUGAUCUGAAUUUUUACUUUGAGGAAAUGAGAGUGUUCCAAGCAGGCAAUCGCCGUGAAUAUGAUAGCAUGGAAUAAUAACAUAGGAUCUUUGUCCUAUUUUGUUGGUUUCUAGGGCUGAGAUAAUGAUUAAUAGGGAUAAUUGGGGGCAUCUGUAUCAACGCGUCAGAGGUGGAAUUCUUGGAUUGCGUUGCGACAAACUACUGCGAAAGCAUUUGCCAAGGAUGUUUUCAUUGA